UAAAUACUACUGUUGCAUUAGCUUUACUUACGUCAGUAGCCUAUUUCUAUGCGGGUAUUUCAAAAAAAGGAUUGGCCUAUUUUGGUAAAUACAUCCAACCAACAUUGGAAAAUUAUAAAGUUACCUCAUGGAGAGUUAGCUGCACCCACAAAUGAUAUAAAUACUACUGUUGCAUUAGCUUUACUUACGUCAGUAGCCUAUUUCUAUGCGGGUAUUUCAAAAAAAGGAUUGACCUAUUUUGGUAAAUACAUCCAACCAACGCCAAUCCUUUUACCGAUUAACAUCUUAGAAGAUUUCACAAAACCCUUAUCACUUAGUUUUCGACUUUUCGGAAAUAUAUUAGCGGAUGAAUUAGUAGUUGCUGUUCUUGUUUCGUUAGUACCUUUAGUAGUUCCUAUCCCUGUUAUGUUCCUUGGAUUAUUUACAAGCGGUAUUCAAGCUCUUAUUUUCGCUACUUUAGCUGCGGCGUAUAUAGGUGAAUCCAUGGAAGUGCAUCAUUGACUAGUUAUGAAAAUAGGAUUUUAGACCGCGACAAAGUAUGUAUGGCUCGCGAUAAUCUACUUAAGGAACAGAAAGAUAAAAAUCCAAAGAAAUUUGGAAAAGUUUUCAUAACAAUCAAAAGAUUUCACAAAACCCUUAUCACUUAGUUUUCGACUUUUCGGAAAUAUAUUAGCGGAUGAAUUAGUAGUUGUUGUUCUUGUUUCGUUAGUACCUUUAGUAGUUCCUAUCCCUGUUAUGUUCCUUGGGUUAUUUACAAGCGGUAUUCAAGCUCUUAUUUUCGCUACUUUAGCUGCGGCGUAUAUAGGUGAAUCCAUGGAAGGGCAUCAUUGACUAGUUAUGAAAAUAGGAUUUUAGACCGCGACAAAGUAUGUAUGACUCGCGAUAAUCUACUUAAGGAACAGAAAGAUAAAAAUCCAAAGAAAUUUGGAAAAGUUUUCAUAACAAUCAAAAAGUAUAAAUAAAAUUAAAACAAUUACCAGGGAAUUAAACAAAAAAUAGAGAUUCAGUUCAAAAAAGGGUGAGGGGGUCGAACUAGGCGUAUAUAUAAUCUAAUCGUUAUAAGACAGCUGGGGGAUUUUUUCCAAGAAUGAUUCUCGAAUACGAUUGAAUCGAAGAUACAACGAAUUGGUUUACGACAAAGUAUGUAUGGCUCGCGAUAAUCUACUUAAGGAACAGAAAGAUAAAAAUCCAAAGAAAUUUGGAAAAGUUUUCAUAACAAUCAAAAAGUAUAAAUAAAAUUAAAACAAUUACCAGGGAAUUAAAUAAAAAAUAGAGAUUCAAUUCAAAAAAGGGUGAGGGGGUCGAACUAGGCGUAUAUAUAAUCUAAUCGUUAUAAGACAGCUGGGGGAUUUUUUCCAAGAAUGAUUCUCGAAUACGAUUGAAUCGAAGAUACAAUGAAUUGGUUUACGGUAUGGAACAAACACAUGUAUAUGUCAUAGUAGAUAUUCAUUAGUUAUAGAUGACUAUCUAUCUAAAUUUGUCCUGCUACUACUCUAAAUUUAGGUAGGGAUUCAAAAAAAAAAGCCCACUUCCAUCUCUUGUAAUUGUGAAUUGAAUAUAAAAUGAAAUCAAAGAAAAAGGAAGGUUUAAAAUAAAUGUAAGAUAAGACCAAAAAUUGUCUGUAUUCACAAAAAACUACAAGGGUAGAAACGACAUCUCUUGUAAUUGUGAAUUGAAUAUAAAAUGAAAUCAAAGAAAAAGGAAGGUUUAAAAUAAAUGUAAGAUAAGACCAAAAAUUGUCUGUAUUCACAAAAAACUACAAGGGUAGAAACGAAAAAAGCAAAUAUCGAAAUAAUUGAGAUAAUUCAAUCAAAAUUAUUCCGUUUGAAAUUUUGAAUUACACUUCGACUAGAGAAAGAUAACUAGGAAGAAUGAAAUAAUUAAGUCAUAUAUUUUUUGUUGAUUAUAUUAUUUACUAUUUCUUAAUUUUAUUUGGAAUAGGAGAAACUUAUCAUGAAUCCACUGAUUGCUGCUGCUUCUGUUAUCGCUGCUGGGUUGGCCGUCGGGCUUGCUUCUAUUGGACCUGGAGUUGGUCAAGGCACGGCUGCAGGGCAAGCUGUAGAGGGGAUUGCGAGACAACCGGAAGCAGAGGACAAAAUACGGGGUACUUUAUUACUUAGUUUGGCUUUUAUGGAAGCUUUAACUAUUUAUGGGCUGGUUGUAGCAUUAGCAUCAUAUAUUUUUUGUUGAUUAUAUUAUUAACUAUUUCUUAAUUUUAUUUGGAAUAGGAGAAACUUAUCAUGAAUCCACUGAUUGCUGCUGCUUCUGUUAUCGCUGCUGGGUUGGCCGUCGGGCUUGCGUCUAUUGGACCUGGAGUUGGUCAAGGCACAGCUGCAGGGCAAGCUGUAGAGGGGAUUGCGAGACAACCGGAAGCAGAGGACAAAAUACGGGGUACUUUAUUACUUAGUUUGGCUUUUAUGGAAGCUUU
rnacentral:lncRNA from 1 species